UACGUAGGGUGCAAGCGUUAAUCGGAAUUACUGGGCGUAAAGCGCGCGUAGGCGGCUUUGCAAGUCGGGCGUGAAAUCCCCAGGCUUAACCUGGGAACUGCAUUCGAGACUGCAUUGCUAGAGUAUGGGAGAGGGAAGUGGAAUUUCCGGUGUAGCGGUGAAAUGCGUAGAUAUCGGAAGGAACAUCAGUGGCGAAAGCGACUUCCUGGACCAAUACUGACGCUCAUGUGCGAAAGCGUGGGGAGCAAACAGG
rnacentral:rRNA from 1 species